rnacentral:lncRNA from 13 species
AUGAAGAAACUCUCCAGUGUGUCUUUCCAGACAAAGGCUAGAAAGGCAGUGAGUGAAGCUCUGAGAUCUGUCAACCCCUUUACAAACAGCUUACUGGGAGACUCGGAAGCAUCUAAAUUGCUGGACACUUUUGUAACAGAUGUGGAGACUAUUGUUCAGUCCAUGCAGGCACAUGACUCUGAAAAUUUCAAAAUGUCAAAAGGGAGCACCCUUUCUGCUGCUCGUAUUAUAUAUCAUAGAUUUCGAGAAAUGCUGAGGUGGUUUCUCACUCCCUGCCAAGACUCUGUAAAGGUCAUCGAUGGUGUUACACCAAUACAUAAUGAGACUCUCAAACAGGCUCCUAGUGAAAGUUUAGAUUCUCAGGUGACUUGUAGUAGUGAUUCUCUUGAAAUCCAAGCAGACCUUCAAACCUGUACCAAGGAGGUCAUUAGCCGGAUCCUCACUGUGUAUCACUCCGAGGAAUCCAUGGAGGAAUGCAUCUCUAGCCUAAGAGGAGAUACAGAAGACCUGUCCAAGCUUUUGGAUGCCGUUGUUUCUCAGAUUGACGUCCUUGCCGCCUCCAAAUCAUAUUUAUUUGUUUAUGACUAUGCUGUCAAUACACAGGACAAUUUGCAUGGUGAGAUCAACAAUAUUGAGGAGGAGGCAUCCUCUAGAAGUCUUAAAUCCACAGCCUUUGACAAACUAUGUACUGAGGAGUUUCAAACUAAAGCCUCACAUAUGGCUGGUGGGAUCCUUCAAUCAGGGUUAAUUGGCAUUGUAAAUACCAACCUUUAUGGUAGAAGUGCAGACAUUUGUGCAGAGUCCAGUAAUGAAAGUGAUGUCAAAAUCCUUCAGAAGAGUGGAACUCCAUCUUUGUUCACCUCUUCUCUGCACACCAAUUCUGCAGCAUCCAACAUUGUCAUAAGCAUCACUAAAGACCUUAAUAGCUUCACCCAGACUAAAAUGUCUGAUGCUUCAGUGUCUGGCCAGUUAGAGAGAUCCCUGUCAGCUUCAACCCUUCCUGUCAGUGUUCACAACGGGGCCAAUGUGAAAGGAAAGAUCAUUUGGCCAGGCACUGUUAACCUGUUCACCAAGGUCAAGGAUUUUUUUGCCCAGCAACAACCGGUCCUCCUAGACAAUGUGGUUGAGGCCCCCAAACAUGCCGAAUCCAUAUGCAGAACAGCUACUUCUACACAAAUGACUUACAGUGAACAUGAAGGCAGCCAGACCAGCAUGGUAAAUUAUUCCAAAACCUUAAUUAGUCAGACUCUGAUGACAAUCCAGAGGAGAGUGUCUAUGUCAGAGAGGAUGAGCACCUCAGAGAAAGGCCUCUUGACUCGUUCCAUCGUGGGCUCCAUGUUGGAGGAUGUUGACAUGGUGAGAACUGAUGGAAAUGAGAUACACCGGCCAUCCUCCUCAAAGUCCUCCCUGUCCAUCACCUCUGCCAUGACCAGAGGGUCCCAGAGUGAUUUUACAAAUUCUCUUCCAGGCACUCCAGUCCCCAAUGAGUGGCCUGUUGAAAUCUAUUGUCCUAUCAUUAGGAGUUCGGUCAUUGAUAUGAGUGACUCCUCAACUCAUUCACAAGGGUCAACAAAUUACACAAGGCAAACCAUUUCUGCCAUAGUUGACACUGUUAUGGAGGUCAUUCCAAGAAAAGAUACGGAACACAUAGCAACUGCAGAUGAUGUCACUUCUUUUACAAGAAGACUUGCGAGACUCAGCCCCAGGGACGGUCUUCAGAACUUCUCACAUGAGCUCACUGACAAAGUUUAUGAGCUCAUAAAAAGUCACAACACCCCCCAGGCUAUUUUUGUGCCAGCUGGCAAGAGCGUGUCUGACUCUAUUCUUUUGAAGCUGAAGACAGGAUUGAAUGCUUCUGAAGAAUCCAGGGAGUUUCCAUCUGACCUUGUGUACUCCUUUGCUACGGAAUCAAUAAAACGUCUGCUACAGCAGAUUGUCUUCUGGCUUCCUCCACCAUCACAAGGAUCCGAUUUCUGCCAAACUGUCAUCUCUGAUGGUUCUCUGCAGGACACAAGUCAGCUUAUCCUGAGCUCUUCUGCCAUCUCCAUUAGUUCCUCACAGGUUUACUGUGACACAAAGAGCCUUUUCACCAAUAUAAUGGUCAAUCAGGUCAUGGAUACCUGUUCUGUGGCCUCCAGUUCAUCAGAAGAAUUAUCAGAGUUGAUGAACAUAAUCAAUGGGUUGUCCCCAACUGAUGCUGGAACACUUGACUCUGACAGACCGGCUCUCAUGACCACUAGCCGUCAGUCUAGUGCCAAAUCAUUGCCUAGAACCUCUCUGUCUGGCAGC